rnacentral:lncRNA from 1 species
GGGUUUUGUGAUUUAGAAAUUAGGAUAACAAGAAUAUUUGUGGAUAGAUGAGUAUUCUUUAAGAAUUUUUCAUCAAUAUGUUGUAUUUCAAAAUAAUUUUCUUAGAAACUUCUAUUUUAGGAAAGUUUUCAUUUUUUGAGAAAUAUUGUAGAUUUUGGUUUUGUGAUUUAGAAAUUAGGAUAACAAGAAUAUUUGUGGAUAGAUGAGUGUUCUUUAAUAAUUUUUCAUCA